rnacentral:tRNA from 1 species
AAUAGAUUGCCUGAGUAAAAGGAUUAAAUUGUAAAUUUAAGAAUAAAAGUAAUAUUUUAUCUAUUA